GGGAUUGAUUUGGGGACGACGAAUUCGGCGGUGGCGGCGAUGGAAGGGGGGAAGCCGACGAUAGUGACGAAUGCCGAGGGGCAAAGGACGACGCCGUCUGUGGUUGCGUAUACGAAGAUUGGGGAUAGGUUGGUGGGUCAAAUUGCGAAGAGGCAGGCGGUUGUGAACCCGGAGAACACCUUCUUUUCAGUGAAGAGGUUUAUUGGGAGGAAGAUGUCGGAGGUUGAUGAUGAAUCGAAGCAAGUUUCGUAUAGAGUUGUGAGAGAUGAGAAUGGGAAUGUGAAGUUGGAUUGCCCUGCUAUCGGUAAGCAGUUUGCUGCUGAAGAGAUUUCGGCUCAGGUAUAAGGGUGUUAUGAAGUUUUUGUGUAAUGGGUUUGUUGAAAGUUUCGAUUUUAUUUAUUUAUUUAUUUUUGCGUUGUUUGGCUUAUGAUGGAAUGAUGAAUUUGUGUCAUGUUGCUGACAUGUGGCUAUUCACCACAUAGCCAUGCGUUUAAAAUUAAGCAGAAGUGAAACAGUAACUGACAUACUAAAAUUUACUGGUAUCCUAUUGUUAUGGGCGUAGACCUGUAGUUGAAGUUGGAAUUUGGGCUCAUGAUGGUAUUUUUGUUUUACAUUGGGAUAAUGUGAUGUGGAUUUUGGAUAUGAGAAUGUUUGAAUUGAAUUUUUUUUCCCAGGGUGGGUUGGAGCUUUUUAGUUUCUAGAAUGUAAUAGGAAAAGAAAGAAAGAGUUGAUAGUUGCAUAGGAGUUAAUUUUUCUUUUGGGGAUGAAUUAGGGUUUUUGGGUGGGAUUGAUGAGCUCUUUUUUGUUUUUUUUCAAAUUUUUUGUUUGUUCUCAUAUUUAUUUCUGUGACAGCAUUUUCUUCUGCAAGGAAAAUUGUUAUAAUGCAUGUAAACCCACUUGUGCAUAAUCUUAUAGUACUUGCUAUGUUGUUAUUCUGCAAUGUGCAAGAUGCGCUUACCUGCAACCUGCGAGGAACUUCUUAAGGCUCAAAGAAACAAAUAUAGUUAUUCUUUAUUAUUAUUUUUUUGAAUUACAUUGAAGUAGUUCAUUCUAAUUGGUCAACUUGAAAUUGCACUGUGCAUCUGUCUUCCUUUUAGGUGUAUUAACUCAUUUUACAUAUGUAGAGUACUUGCUGAUGGUUAAUUUAUUCUGUUUUUCUAUAUCAGGUCUUGAGAAAGCUUGUGGAUGAUGCAUCCAAGUUCUUAAAUGAUAAAAUAACUAAAGCUGUGGUCACAGUGCCUGCUUACUUCAAUGAUUCCCAGAGGACAGCGACAAAGGAUGCUGGUCGUAUAGCUGGCUUAGAAGUUCUGCGUAUCAUCAAUGAGCCUACCGCUGCUUCGCUUGCCUAUGGAUUUGAAAGGAAAAACAAUGAGACCAUCCUAGUGUUUGACCUUGGUGGUGGUACUUUUGAUGUUUCAGGUACUCUUUCAGAAGUUCAUUUUUGUUCUGUCUUCUGCAGAUAUCUUAGGGAAUUUAUUUCAAUUGCAGCUUAAGUAAUGCGGCUGGAAAUUGAUCUUGGUGACUAUCAAAUUAUUUUGAAUGGAAAGGUCUGUUCAUUCUUAAAUAUCUUAUUUCUUUCUAUUCCAGUGCUUGAGGUUGGAGAUGGAGUGUUUGAAGUGCUUUCAACUUCAGGAGAUACACAUUUGGGUGGGGACGACUUUGAUAAGGUUGGAAUACCUUUAUAAUAUAGUGCCUUCAAUUUUGUUUGUACCUAUGUGUAAGAGCGAAGUAAUUUGGAUUUACUUAUGUGAUUAAUGGACAUGCAAUUAUCAUAUGCUAUAUGAAGAGAGUUGUUGAUUGGCUUGCUGAAAACUUCAAAAGAGAUGAAGGUGUCGUUCUUUUGAAUGACAAACAAGCUCUUCAGCGACUAACAGAAGCAGCUGAGAAAGCUAAAAUGGAGCUGUCAUCUUUGACUCAGGCAAACAUCAGGUAUGUUAUUUGUAUCUAUUUAACUCUUUUUUUUAUUCAGGUGCAUAUCAUCCUCUUGGCUGUUUGUUGUACUAAUAAUUUUUUGUUUUUCCAGCUUGCCUUUCAUUACUGCUACUGCAGAUGGGCCUAAGCAUAUUGAGACUACCCUUACAAGGGCCAAGUUUGAGGAAUUGUGUUCUGAUCUACUUGACAGGUUAGCUUAUUUUACACUAGUUCUUUCAACAUGGCGGUGCAUGUUUUAACGGAAUAUUUGCUUUUGAGCCCUUGCUGUAAUGGUAGAUGUUUCUAUUAUCUCGUGGCCUCUUCUGUGUUACCAUUGGGGUCCUAAAUGCUUCAUUUUUAGUCUCAUCUACUUGAUUUGCCUUGAUAGGCUAAAGAAACCUGUUGAAACUGCCUUGAGGGAUGCAAAACUUUCAUUCAACGAUCUAGAUGAGGUUAUCCUUGUUGGUGGAUCAACCCGUAUUCCGGCUGUUCAGGAGCUGGUGAAAAAGAUGACUGGGAAGGAUCCAAAUGUCACUGUUAAUCCUGAUGAAGUGGUUGCCUUAGGAGCUGCUGUUCAGGUAGGUUCAAUACUUACCAAAAUAUAUUCUGCUCUGUGCAUUUUUGAGUUCAUUAAAUUUGUAAAGGAGAAUUUUAUAAUCCUGAUUUCGUGGUGGAUAUUAUUUCACAACUAUCUUAGGAUGAAUUUGUGGUCGAUUGUUUUUCUUACUCCAUUUAGUUACAUAGUCUUAUGAAAUAUUUUAUGACUUUAGGGAGGUGUUCUUGCUGGAGAUGUCAGUGACAUUGUCCUAUUGGAUGUUACACCACUAUCUAUUGGUUUAGAAACCCUUGGUGGUGUUAUGACAAAGAUCAUCCCAAGAAACACAACUCUUCCUACUUCCAAAUCAGAGGUGUUCUCCACUGCUGGAGAUGGACAAACAAGUGUUGAGAUCAAUGUCCUUCAAGGUGAAAGAGAGUUUGUUAGGGAUAACAAAUCACUGGGCAGCUUCCGUCUAGAUGGUAUCCCACCAGCUCCACGUGGGGUUCCCCAAAUUGAGGUCAAAUUUGACAUCGACGCCAAUGGAAUUCUCUCUGUCACUGCUGUUGACAAGGGCUCGGGGAAGAAACAAGACAUCACCAUUACUGGUGCUAGUACCUUGCCCAGUGAUGAGGUCAGUUUGAUAUACUCUAGCUAACUGGGUGCUUGUUUAAAACUACUAUUUUUCUUCAUCUUGCAGUGCCUUCAAUAUAAUCGUUAAUUGUUGCAGAAUUUAUGUUGCUUUUUCAGGAGUGGUUGUGCAAUUAACGCAGCUUAAUAUAUUUGUACUAAGUUUAUUGCCUUUCUACUUUACCUUGCAUCCAUUACUACUUUAUAGUUAAGAGCCAAUUAUGUUGCAGCCUUUGUAUAUUUCGGCGUUUCAAGUCAGAAGGCAGAAGCUACAGGAUACCCAGUCAUUUUCUGUGGCUGAAUUAUUUAUGACCAGUCUUACAAUAUGUUUUGACCGUUGGCUGUUUUAAUGGAACUUGCUCAUAUGAAUUUAAAAGUUGCAUGAUUGCUACAAUUAUUGUCUUGUAAAUGAAAUUUUUUCUUAAGCUGGGACCUAUAUCAUUCAGCGAAUUGUGCUGUACUAAUGUCUCUAUCAAAAUCUGCAGGUGGAGAGAAUGGUGAAAGAAGCUGAGAAGUUCGCGAAGGAGGACAAGGAAAGGAGGGAUGCCAUUGACACAAAGAACCAAGCUGAUUCCCUCGUGUAUCAGACAGAGAAACAGCUGAAGGAGCUGGGAGAAAAAGUUCCAGCACCAGUCAAGGAGAAGGUUGAAGGAAAACUUCAGGAUCUGAAGGAUUCCAUUUCAGAAGAGUCAACUCAAAAGAUGAAGGACGCCAUGGCCGCCCUUAACCAAGAAGUCAUGCAGCUUGGCCAGUCUCUAUACAACCAACCAGGUGCUGGACCUGCUCCCGGUGCGGAAGCUGGGCCGUCGGAUUCAUCCAACAAGGGACCUGAUAGUGAUGUUAUUGAUGCCGAUUUUUCUGACAGCAAAUGAGGACCUUAUAGCUUUCUGUUCUCAUUCCUGGUAUCAUUUUUGUUGCAUGGGCAAAGGACACAACGUUGUUUUUAGAAAUAUAGAAGAUAUUGGUGACAGCUACAGAUAGUAGGAAACCCCCCAUUUGCAAACGAAACUAGUUUUAUUUCUUGUGUAUAAAAUGCACUUCAACAAUAGUUCAUUUAUUAAAUGCAGAAUAUGGUUUUUAUGAUAAAUUUUAGAGUUAAUUUUGAAUAUUUAUGUGUGAUAUGUUUACAAUAAUGCUGGGAUCUCAAUGUUGUAUGUGUGAAUUUGUUAUUGUUAUGUGGAUGAAGUAACGAUCUGAGAUUGAGUGGAUAGAGAAGAGAGUACUGCACAUUAAAAAUAUCAUUGAAAUUUUCAGCGCAAAGCAAAGGUGAUUGCACUGAAAAAUGUCCUUAAAAUGCCCUGAGCCAUUGCGUUUGUAAUUAAUGCUUCGAGCUUGAGGAUAAAGAUGCUAAUUUUGUCAUCUAUAAUUACAAUAAACUAUUAAAUUUCAUCUGCCAUUCAUUUUUUUUUUCUUUUUAAGCUUUAGCCCCGUUUUUUACGUAAAAGUCUUUCAAAGUGGCUAAUUUCGUGAUAUCGUUUAUAUAACAUCAUUCAACCUUUGUCAUUUUUCUAUCUUAAAUGUGUCAACAAAAAGAAUAAGAAAGCUGUAAACUAUUAGGUCUACUAAGUGAAUGUUUCUGGUGCUUUUAACAUUGUUUUGAAAGCAAACCAGCACAAGACACUUUUAUUUGGUAAUAAAUGUUUUACCACUCAUCCAAUGCUUAUGGUUUACAGCUAGUGAGUGUGGAUUAAAAAACAACACUUCCGUUCCAAACAUGCCGCUUUGAAUUUGAAAUAUAAAGUUUGUAUUUCGUAAAAUAUGACUAAUAAAAUGAUACUAUCAGCAUGUGUGAUGCAUUAGGUAAAACCUAUAUAUAACAAAGAUUGUUAUGAAAUGAAAGUGUGAUAUGGCUUUUAUAGAACAUUGGCGAUCGACCACACCCAUUCCCGAUAUUUUACAUAUAUUCCCGUCCCCUCCCCAUCCCCAUUAGAAUUGAUUGAGGAGAUCCCCGUUCCCUCCCCGAAUGAUAAGAGGGGAUUUCUGAGGGGUCCACAAACCUCGAAUAACUAAUACGUUUUUAUAUUUAAAUUCUGAACUUGAUUAAUUAUAUUAAAAUAAAAAUUUAAACAAAAGUAAGGUUUGACAAUAUAUCUUACACUAACAUUAAUGCAUUACAAAAAUCGUACUACAAAAUAUAAAUUAUCAUAAUAAUUAUCUUCGUCAAUCUUCAUAAUCUUAUGAUAAAAAGAAAUUAUUUUAUAUCAAUAAUGAAAUAAAUGAAAUGGGUAUAGAUACUAAAAUUAAUAUUUUUAAUAAAAGUGUUUACUCUUGUACCUCAUGCUCCUCUUGUUCUUCCUCAAGAAAUGUGACAAAUUGAGAGAUAACAUCAGGUUUCAAAUCUAAAACAAUAAAAAAUAUCUAAACAAUAUGACUCAUAAUUUAAAAUAGUUUUGCGCCAAGAUAUUUAGAAUAAGGUCUGGUUGAAUAGUAAUUCAGGACUACAACUAGUUAAGUAGGUUCGAAAUUUAUAUAGCAGAUUUUAUAAAUAUUUUGAUAUUUGUUAUUUAAACUAAUAUUUAAUAUAAUUUAAAUUUCAUUAUUCAUUUAUUAAUAAUUCUAAAAAAUAGAACCAAAAUUAAAAAUUAAUAUGAGGAAAUGGGGAAAUGGAUAGGGGAUGGGUAUUUCACCUUAUCCCCAUCCCUUUCCCGAAUAAGAAACUGGGUAAAAAAUUGUCCUCAUUCCCUCCCCGAAUAAGAAAUUAGGUAUCAAAUUGUCCCCAUACCCUCCGCGAAUAGGGAAAAUCUCCAAAGAUCCCCGUCCCCGUAAGAAUUUUUGCCAAACCUAAAAGGGAAAGAUGCGAAGGAAUACCUUUUUAAAACAAAAUUCCUCCAAAUUUGGGAAAUAUUCAUUUUCUUCUGCAUAAUAAUUGCAUUUGAUCCAAAAGAGAACAAUUACUUUUCCAAAUGACCCCAUGAGAGAAAAUGAGGUUACGCAAAUUGAGUGGAGGUGGAAAUUGUUAGAUUAUAUAAGUUAUAAAACUAAAUUCCUAAAUUAUUAUGAUACAUCUUUUUAGAUAAUUUAAUCGCCGUACGUUAUAAGAGUAAAAUGAUUAAAUUAAAAUUAAGUAAAAGCGAUCUUAGUAGUCAAAGAUGGUCAAUAAACAUAGGUCUAAAAAAAUUAUUUAUUCAUUAAUUGUCAAAACUUUUUCUCUAUUUGAAUUUUUUGAAAAUAAUAUGAAUUCUCCAUAAUUAGUUUUUGAAAUGGGUGGAUCUACACAGAUUGUGGGUAAAAAUAUCCCAAUUCCAGUACAAAAUUUGUUAAAAGUAGAAUGACGAGGCCUAAUUUCAUAUAGUCCAACUAAAACUCAAUCUAAAAAUCUAUAUCAAAGUAAAGGAGAGUCCUACUUCAAAAUAGAGAUGACCAACGAGCCGUGUAAGCAAGGGGAAGGUGAAUGAAGGCCCAUGGGUUGGCAUGGCACGACUCACCAUGUGAACUAAAUGGGUUGUGCUUGACUUUUUUUGCUUAGGCCCAACACGACCAAGCACAACGUGCUUGGUCGUGCCCAAGAAAAAGCACAAUAAAAAAAAUUUUAAGAGGACAUGCCAAGUUGUUGACAAGCUUUUCUCAAACCCAUGAACAUUUCUUGGGCCAUAUACCUUUAGUCAAAUUCAAUAGAAUUAAAAGUUUAAAACUCUAAGUCAAUAUUCGAUAUUUUUAGUGACAAAAUUAUAAGUUCUUCACUAAAAAUAUUCUUAUAAAAAUUUAAUGUAAGGUCAAAAUUUUAGACCUUUUGCGACGAAAUGUAUAUUUCAUCGCUAAAUGUGUAUUUUUAAUGAAGAAAUUGUAAUUUCAUUGCUAAAAUAUUCGUUAAGGACCUAAAGAACCACCAAAAUUUCAUACCUUUUUGAGAUGAAAUUUAAAGAUUUAAGGUGGUUAAUUUUUUGCCAAAGUUUUAGGCUUUUAGCAAUGAGAUUAUAAGUUCAUCGCUAAAAAUAUUUGAUUAAAGAUUUAAAAUGGUUAAUUUUCCACCAAAAUUUUAGACCUUUAGCAAUGAAAUUUAAAUUUCAUCCCUAAGUGCAUUUUUUUAGCAACAAUUUUCAUUUUGCCACUAGACAACGUGAGAAUUUAAAAAUGUAAAGCAGAUUCUUUUCCACCAAAAUUAAGUUUUAAUGAUGAAUUUUAAUUUUCAUCGCUAAAAACCCUAGUUCUAUGUUUAUAUAUCAUUUACUUCAUUUUUUUUAUUCUUUCUCAUUCUCUCAUUCUCUUAAUUUUAUUCUUUAAUUCUCUUAUCUCUAAUUUAUUAUUCUCAUUCAAUCAUUCUCUACUUCUUUUCUCUCUUUUAUUUUUAACAUAUUUGUAAUUAUUUUUGUAUUUUUCAUCAAUAAUAAUAAUAAUAAUAAUAAUUUUAAAUUAAUUAAUUUUCAUCUUAUCAUAAUGAUGUUAAUUAUCAUUGUAAUUUAGUGUUAAAAAUGAUAAUAUUUUAAUAAUAAUAAUAAUAAUCAAAUGUUAAAAAAUGAUGUCUUCUAGCGAUGAAAUAAUAUUCAUCGCCAAAAAUACUUUCAGUGACGAAAUAAUUUGUUUACUAAAACUCAUAUUCACAGCACAUAAAUUAAUGAAGAGUUUAUGCUUUUGGUGACAAUUGUAUUUAUGGCUAAAAAAGAGACCUUUGGUAAGGAAACUUUUCAUCACCAAAAGUGUGUUUUUUUGUGCUCCUUUUGCUAUGAAUCUAGCAACAAAGAUUUGGUCGCCUUUAUCAUUUUUGCGAUGAAGCUAAUUUUAUUGCUAAAACAUUCAGAGAUGAAAUUUGAAUACUUCAUGUCAAUGAAAAAAAUCACUGUAGUCUUUAGCGAUGAAAAUUAUACGUUUUAGCGAUGAUUAUUUCUGUCCUAAAGCCCCUUUUUGUUGCACUGAACAUCUGGCAAUGCAUUGAUCAUAUCUUGGGUAUUGACUUUUGAUCUGCAUGCGCUAAGGUAUCUAAUUAUAGAAGCCCCGAUAAAGUUAGCACCAAGAUUAUUUGACUCAAUUGUUUGAUGAUUUCUUCAUUCUAGCGGUUUUAAUAAAGAAGUUUUAAAAAUCUUGAAGUGCCAUUUGUGAAUAUUUGCUAUUCACUUUCGUAUGAUACUAAUUGAAGAUGUUUAAAAAUAUUAUGCAUUUGUAAGUAAACAUUCUAGUAAUAUACCAAAGUUUCCUUUUAUUCACGUACAUAAAUAUGAUCUUAAUUUUAUAGUAAACCUGAAAAAAAAGGAAUUCCUGUUGAAGGAAAUAAGAAUCCAUUUAUUGCCUGAAAUGAAUUAUUUUACUGUGAAGUUUUCUCCUUCCAAGUGCUUGAUUAUUCUAUAUCCUUUCCAACAGGCUCUACUACAGGUCCUUUGUUACUGUAUUCAUCAUAGUAAAAGUCUCCACGCUCUGUCCUUGCCACAAUCCAACCUUUAGGAUCAAUUAUUCCAUCAAGAAAAGUUUGCGAGAUUAUUGUUCUUGAAUAUAUAAUUUCUCCGCGGUCAUCCCAUGUAUGUCUCGAUUGAUGUUUGCUCUGAGAGAAGUCUUCUAUGAUUGUCUUUACAUUCCCUUCAGUAGUUAUGGUGCGAUUAUGAAUGAUUACUCCUCCAUUUUCCCUUGCUUUUUCUCUUCCUUCGGUUGUGACCGUCUUUACACUCCCACCAAGGAAACAACGAAUGUAGAUAUUACAAUUUUGAACACUUAACUUGCAUCUCCAAAUAUAAAAUCAAUUACACCAUAGACAUCACACUCUUGAUAGAACAGUUUAUUGCUUCUAGCAUAAAGGGCGCACUGAUACCCAGCAAACUUUUACCUCUAGAAGGCAGAGUCCACCUCACCACUGAUGCUACUGCCUAGCUUGUUUCCUGUUAUGGUCCAGUUGUCAAAUGUUGUAUUAAUUGUCACAAAUCGAGCCACUUUAAUCAUUACAUUGAGUUGAAAAAAAAAAAAAAAAAAAGCUAAUCAAUAUAUGUUAGAAUAUAACAAGAUCAUGUUUACUGAUCUUAUUUUUUGUUUGUUAAUUUAAUGCAUGUAUACUACAAUUUAUAAGGAGAAAAAAGAGAGAAUAAAAUUGCAUAACUGAUCACUCAUUAACUGUAGCAGUCUUGUAAGUAGAUAAACGAUCCUUUUCCGUGGCUUUUAUUCCUGGAAAUGAUUGUGUCUUUGAUUUUAUUGCUAAUUUACACCAAAUUCAUUUUCUCUUUUCCAACAACAACAUAUUCAAUAGAGAUGGCCAAUGGACUGAGAGAGGUAAGUGGCACGACAUGUGCACGGCACGGGCACGACACAUGUUUGUAUAGCAUGGCAUGACAUGAGCACAUUUUGGUAGAAUUGCGAAUUAUGUUGGACUGAGAAUUUUAGGCAUGUGUGUCUCAAAGAUAAGUCACAAUUAGAAAUGAGCUAAAGUAUGACUUGUGACAAAGCCCGCAAUAAGCACACUUUAUUGGUGGGUUAGCGUGUAGUCCAUGGGUCAUCAAUAGCAUGUAGGCUAAGAUAUAUCAAAAUAAAUUUUUUUAAUAAAAAAUAAAUUUAAAAUUUUAUGAUUUUACGAAUAACUUGAAGUUGAAUCUUUUAAUAUAUUUUAUUAGCAUGGAUUUUUUUAAAAUUCAUUUAAGUUUUAAUCUUAUUCAUUUACCAUAAUUGUGAUUAUAUAAUCAAUAUUUUGUAGUUGUGAUUUGUCAUAAUUGGUAGUUCAUGAUUGUUAUUGCAAUCAUAAGAGAAUUCAUUGGGAAGAAAUAAUCACGUUGGAGGAAUAAAGAUACCACUUAUGACUGUGAGUAAAUCGCUGAACAAUUUCUAAAUUCUGAUUCUUGAGUUGAUAUAAAACUUAAAAUUUAGAUUCGCAAGAAACUCAUUCUGUGAAGUGAAUGUGGUGUUGCUAAUAGCUAAUAUUGGAGAGAAGAUGUAUUAUAUAACUAGGUCCAACUUAGGAUUCUUUAUUUAUAGACCAAUAGAAGAGUUGAGCUAUUCAUCAAAUCUCUAUUUUUAUUUAGGAUGAGAUUAUUUACACUCUAAUAUAUUCUUUGCACAUUCUAAUUUUAGUAAAAUUUUAUAUUACUAAAGUAACCCUAACGUAUUUAUUAAUUGAUCAUGAGUGUGGAGUAAUAGAGCCUUACCCUUUUAUUUAUGAUUUAGAUUUACAUAUUUUGUCAAAUAAAUCCUCAUACCAUCGAAGUUUACCAAAUAUAAAUAUAGUCAACUUCUAGUUCGAGACGUGUUUACAAUAUUACAAAUAAAACUUGGACUUAAAUAAAACACGGGAUUCCUGGAUUGAAAAAACUUCAUAUAUAUUGUCAGAUAAAUACUCAUUCCUCAUUGAGCAAAUUAUAGAUCUUUUUUGUUUAUUAAAAUGCAAUUAUCAUCUUUCCUUGAAAGACUUCCAUAAUUUAUUUUCACAACACAAAAUUUUCUUUUAUUUUUAUUCAAUAAUUAGAUUAUCAUUUUCUAUUAAAUUUAAUUAAUCAGUGGAAUUUUUCAACUGUAGUAUGACUUAGGGCUCUUGAAAAGAUAAAAGCUAAUUUUAGUGUUUAGUAAAUUUUUUUAGAAAUAACUUUUGACAAAAUCACCCCAUCCUACAACCAAUUUAUUAAAAGCAGGAAAGGAGUACCUUUUCAAAAUUUGAUUUUGAGAAUUACUUUCCUACUUAAUACAAUUCCAUACAUUUUUUUUCAUAUAUAUUAAAAAAUCUAAAAUUAUCCUUAUUAAUUAGGAAAUAAAAUCAAUAAGAUUAUUAUUGAGAUAAUGAAAUAAAAAAUAAAAUUAAUAAUAUAAAUAUUUAUUUUAGUUAUGUUUAUCAGUGUGUAAAUAAAUUUUAUUCAACAUUAUGUCUAAUUUAGUCAUUUAUAUUCUUACAAUAGUUUAACAAUAAAUUUUACCAAACACACAUAAUUAUUUUUAAUAUUUGCAGCACUUUUAAAAAUAAAUGUUACCAAAUAUUUAAUUAAUUCUUUUCAGAGUUGAUUACUUCUACAACACAGCUAACAUUAUUUAUUUUAAAAGAAUACAAUAUUAUCAAACUAGGCCUUAGCAAUAACAUAUUGAUGACUUUGAAAUUAUUUUAAAAGACCAAUUUUGACUAGUAGAAAAAAGAACAUUCCUUAUAAUCAGAAAAAAAAAAAUUAUUAAAAGUUUCUAAUUUCGUGAGUAUUAAUUUCUUAGUGCUUUUCUAAUUUAAAAGGUAAUGUAGAACAAGAAGAUAGUAAAAUUCUCAAAAAUGAAUAGACUUGAUAACAUAAUUUUCUUACAAAAUAUUAAUAAAUACUUUGAGCAAAUAAAAUAGAAAUACUAUAGAGUGCAAGAUGGAUGAUAUUGUUAGCAUAAUAAUAAUCUAGCUCAAUUAUCCAACAUAGGAACAAUCAUUUACCAAGCAACUAUAGAAGGCCGAGUCCGCUUCACUCACUAAUGCUACUGCCUGGCCUGUUUCCUGUUCUGGUCUGGUUAUGUUCUCAAAUGUUAUAUUUAUUGUCACAAAUCCAGCCCCUUAAUCACUACAUUAAUUUGAAAAAAAAAAUAGCUAAUCAAUAUAUGUUAGAAUAUAGCAAGACCAUGUUUACUGAUCUAAUUUUUUGCUGCUUGUUAAUUUAAUGUAUAUAUGCUACAGUUCAUAAGGUGAAAAGGAGAGAAUAAAAUUGCAUAGCUGAUCACUCACUAACUGUAGCAGUUUUGUAAGUAGAUAAAUGAUCCUUUCCGUGCCUUUCAUUCCUGGAAAUGAUUGUGUUGUUGAUUCCAUUGCCAAUUUACACCAAAUUCAUUUUCUCUUUUCCAACAACAACUUAUUCAGUAGAGAUGCCCAAUGGGCUAGGAGGCAAGUAGCACGAUAUUGGCACGGCACGGGCACAGCACAUGUCCAUACAACACAGCACAACAUGAGCAUGUUUUGGUAGGACAUGUAGUACAACACGGUACACGUAUGAACUAUGUUGGGCUGAGAAUAUUAGGCAUGUGGGUCUUAAAAACGCGUCACAAUUAGAGAUAGGAUAAAACACGGUCCAUGAGAAACCCCACAAUAAGCACACUUCAUUGGAGGGCUAGCAUGCAACCCGUGGGCCAUUAAUAGCAUGCGGGCUAGGUAUAUUAAUGAAAAGUAAACUUAAAAUUUUAUGAUUUUAUAAAUAACUUGAAAUUAAAUCUUUUAACAUAUUUUAUUACCGUAGAUUUUUUAAUUCAUUUAAGUCUUGAUCUUAUUCAUUUAUCAUAGUUGUGAUAAGUAAUCGAUGUUUUGUAGUUGUGAAUAUGAAGCAUUUGCUAAAUGAUAGGACUGAUUCUUUAAGGUACAUGCCAGUAGGGACUGUGAGGUUAAAGGGCAUUGAGCUACCCUAGCUAAGAGGAUAGUUGCCAAGAUUGCAGGGGAUUAAUAGAAGCAGCAUAUUUAAAAAGGCGUGAUAUUAUAGUCCCUAUAUGUGUCGAUUCAUAUAAGUUUGAAAAAGUUUAAAACGCUUUUUUUUUAAGGGUCUGACUAUGGUGCAACUGUAGUACCAUACUACAGUUUCUUCCAGCCGUUGAAUCCAACUUAUGAUAACAACUAUAACUAAAUCUAACGACUGAAUGCAACUGUAAUAUGAUACCACAGUUCCAUCAUAGUUUUGCCCAUUUUUCAAUCUGUGCAAGACAAACCGGACCAAAAAAUUGCUGGAGCACCAGGUCAUUUGUACCAACAUGUUAUUAAUUAUACACGUACGCGUGGCUUUGUCAUGAUUUGAUGCUACACCAAAAAGAGAUAUUUAUAGCUAUAAUUUUUAAACUGCACCGUGAUAUUUGGUAAAUAAUAGCAGUUAAGGUUUAGAAAGUAAGUUGAUUUUCUUUCACAUUUGUAUGAUUAAAAAUCAAUAAUAUUUUUAUUAUUUUUAUCAAAACUCUUAUUGAAAAGACUUAUUCAUUAUACACUAUCAAAUUUUAUUGUAUAGUUAUGAUUUUUUUUUACAACUAUUGUUUAAAAAUUACAACCUCUGAGUACAAAACAAUACCUUUGACUUGUUAAUUGUGAUGGCGUUGCAGCCUAAGGAGUUCUUUAGGAGUUUGAGAGGCAGAAAGAAAAACAGUAUUAGUAUUUUACCAACUAAAAGUUCUUAAUUUAAUUUUAUGUUCUGCAUUUUGCUCUGAUAGAUUUUGUGUUUAUUAGGCUAUGAAUUUUUUUAGAAAUAAAGUGUGCAUUUCUAUGUUCUUCAUUUAGGAGUGUUAAUUCAUGUAAUCGUGUCAUGUCAAAUUUAAGCAAACACAAAUACGAUCCAUUUAUUUUAAUAUAUUCUUUUUAAUCUCUUGUAUGAUAGGAAAAACAUAAAUUUUAAUAUUGUUUUAUUGUUUAGAAGAUUAGAAGAUUAGAACUCGUGUUGGGUAAAACCUAAGUCAAUUAUUUUAACCCCUAUACCUCUCCAGAAUUUGAACUCCAGUGACCGAUCAAGUAAGACGACUUAAAAAUUGCUAAUAACUUAUAUACUCCACAUGAUAGAAUAGCAAUGAAUAGAAUUACUGAUUUAUUUAUUUUAUUUUGGAUUACCCCCAGGAUUAUUAUUUACCCAAGUUGAACAAUUUCGACUUGGCGACUUCGGAAUUUCUGAAAAUUCCGAAAAAAGAACUCUCACAAGUAUCACUUUCAAUUAUUUCAUCCGCUACAUAUCGGCCGGCAGAAUCAUGAUCACCAUUCUCCAUAUGUUUUAUAGCCGUGGGGAGUUCAUCGAUAGCUAGAUCAUAAACUUGAAAGCAAACAUCGAGACAGAUUUUCAUAGCCUGAUCUUCGGUUUCAUUAAGCAACUUCUUGAUUUGUUCAUACGUAAUAUUGCAGUAUGUUGAUGCCGAUUCAAGUAUGAUGUGAGCUAGACAUUUGAAACAGAUCUCAAGGAUCCGGACAUUUAUCAUCCUAAAGUAAUUUCAAUAUUAUAUUUUCUACUAUUUUUAAUUUCCUAUUGAAUAAACUUUUUCUUAUACUGAUUUUUUUUUUGGUUCCCCCCAAAUUUGUUGAUAGUUUGCAGGACAAAGAGUAGUAGUUGAACCAUUACUUAGGUUUAUGGUAAAGGAGGUAAAUAAUUGGCAUGUUAUUAAGCCUUGUUUUCUCUGAACCAUUAAAUAAUUUGGCUUUUGAGUCAAGUGCUAGCUUUUUAAGGUACUCUCACUGAACUGAGUGACCAAUUUCUUUUGUACUAAAUGUAUCAUGUGAUGCAGGUAGCAGAGCAGGAGUAUGGUUUAUAAAACAGCAAAACGUUUUGUUUUGGUGAAAGGAUUACACAGAGUAUGUGACAUCGCACUUGGCUUUGAAAGAAUGUGAGUGAUGAACUUAAAAAGGGGUGACUUCCCUUGCACGGUCCAUCUGUUUUCAUUAAUACCUUUGUUGCAUAUCUAGGUUCAAGGAGCAAUGUUGAUGCCAUUCAUAGAUAUUAAAGACAAUGAGGAGAAAAAGGUGAUAUACUAUACUUGCUGCAUAAUGACCAAAUCUCCAUCGCUCUCUCAUUGUAACUUGAUACGCAAUUUGAUUGUCAACGAAUAAUUAUUAACCAAGAAUGCAGGGUAUCAAAAGAAGCAGCAUACUUGAAAAAGGCAUUAUAUUCUGGAGGCUAUGUGUCAAUUCAUAUAAGUUUCAAUAAGUUUAAUAGUUGAGCUCUGUUAGCUCGCCCAUUUUUUUUUUUUUUUUCCAAUUUGCGCAUUCAGGUACUAUCAAAGUUUGCUUACACUACUGGGUUCGGAGCAUCACUGGCUGUGGUUCUAGACUUCAGGUUUUUAUUAGUUAACUCUCUCUCCCUUGUGUGUACACACACACAUAUCAUGUUUUUUCAUAGUUCUGAAACUCACAAGAUUUAAUUGUAUUAAAAAUGUUUUGGUCGUCUGCAUUGUCAGGUUAAGGAUACUGAGCAAUGUAUUAAGGCAAAUGUCAGAGUUUUGUUAGUUUCCAAGAAAUCGAUCCUACUGUGGGGCCAAGGAUACUAUGAGGUUAUUUGGAAUUGAGGUGCUGUAAUUUUAAGUUACAGCUGUUGUAAAAAAAAAAUAUAAUUAUGAAAUAAAAGUUAAUAGUGUAUAGUAAAUAUAAUAAAUUUUUCAUCAUACAAGUGAAAAAUAAUAUAAAAAUAACUUUCAAGUUACAGCAGUUAGUGUUUACCAAAUAUUUUAGUACUGUAUUUUUUAAAUUACAGUUACCCAACCUCAAUCCAAACGCACCCUAAGUACCAAGAUUAUCUUUAUGUGAGAUUUGCAUUUGAUCCAGUGAAUUUUGAGAGCUAGGGUGAGAGAAUUUUUAGGAUAUUGGGAUUUAGGUUGGGGUAUAUUAUUGUUCAAAAUUUAUAUCGUCCUAUAUUUUUUUUAGUUAAAUUAUCUUCAUGUGUUCGCCCCGUGGAUACAGACUGAGAAUCGAACCAUGUAAAGUUAUUAUGUUCUUUCUUCGCAAUUGUUUACUAUAUAGUAUUUGAGAUUGUAUCUCCAAGGUGUGCUUAAAGUUAUUCUUGUUAUUAUUAAUAAUAGGAAAAGAACUUACAAAAUCAUGUUAAUUUGGCACCUUAGGAAUCCUGUUAUUUUUAAAAGUAAUUACGUAUAUCCUUUUUAUGUUUAUACGUAGUCACACAAGUCCUUAAGGUUUGUUUAAAAAGAGUGGACAUUAAAACAAAUCUAAAGCUAAUUGUGGCCUUCAAGUCUCAUGUUGCUUUCUAUCAUAUAAUUUCAAAUGAAAUUUUUUUCCGUUAUUUCUCUAGUUUGAAAUCAAUAUAUAAUUGAUUCUAGUAUAAAACUCUGAAUGGUCAUUGAUUUGUCAGCACGUCUUUAUAAAAAAAUUGUGUGAUCAUUUCUAAGAAUAAUGAAGUCCAUAUGAUCAUUUCACUAAACCACAACAUCUCACUAUCAAUUUCUCUUGCUAGCAAGGCUUCCGCCUAAUCAUAGGCGGUGCCCGAAUAAUCAUUUAAGGUACCAAUUUGAGUCUUUUAUAUUUGGGUGAUUUAAAAUAAUUUAUUUCCCUUCCUACAACUAUAGUUAGAGAUAAAUAUCUUAAUUUCUGGUUAUACUCUUGGUAGACCUUUAAACUGUACUAUGAGUGUAUCGAUGUAGAUUCUGAUCCCAAAUUAUAAUAUCAGGUAACACUUGAAAAUAUAUAUAUAUAUAUGAAGAAGGUCAAGAUUUUCUAGUUAAUGUUGUAUUUUGUUUGACCAAGAAUUAAUUAAACGAGCCCAGCCCAACAACUCAUCGGACCAAUGAUUACCCAUGACUUGUCUGUACCACUGGUGCCGCAGAGGCCUCUGGCGGUCUUAUUGGCUCACACCACAGUGGGGUCUUCGACUGGAAAACUCAAUCCAACGCGCAGACAAAACUAACCCGAACGCGAACAUCCUCGAUCUUUCUAUCACCGAUCAUACGGCCGCAAAUCACCCUCUCCCUCCAGAAGACCAUUCUAGAAUCCUUACACGUGUCACCACCUAACCCUCACCCGUACUCUCUCUCUAUCUACCCCUAAACCCUUCUCUCUUUAUCCUCUUCCUUCUUCUUCGCAGUCUUCAAGAACUAAAACUGAACUCUCUCUCUCUCUCUCUUACACACACACACACACACACACACACACACACACACACACACACACACACACACACACACACACACACACACACACACACACACACACACACACACACACACACACACACACACACACACACACACACACACACACACACACACACACACACACACACACACACACACACACACACACACACACACACACACACACACACACACACACACACACACACACACACACACACACACACACACACACACACACACACACACACACACACACACACACACACACACACACACACACACACACACACACACACACACACACACACACACACACACACACACACACACACACACACACACACACACACACACACACACACACACACACACACACACACACACACACACACACACACACACACACACACACACACACACACACACACACACACACACACACACACACACACACACACACACACACACACACACACACACACACACACACACACACACACACACACACACACACACACACACACACAAAUAAGACCGCAUUCAAAUUCCCACAUAUCUCACUGAAAUAACAAAAGGGCUUGUUUAAUUUUCUGAAAUAUAAGCAUGGCUUGUUCAUCGGCAGCUCAAAUUCAUUUCCUCGGUAAUAUUUCAUUGUCGUCGAGAAAAAACAGUAAAAACGGUCGUCAGAACACGGCGGGGUCGAGAAAUUUGUUUUUUGGGAAAAGGGUUGGCGGGAACCGAUUCGGGUCGGUUCCAAGCGCUGCGUUUUUGAGGUUGAAGAGUGAGAACAGAGGGGGAAGGUAUGUGGGGCCGGUGAGGGUGGUGAAUGAGAAGGUGGUGGGGAUUGAUUUGGGGACGACGAAUUCGGCUGUCGCGGCUAUGGAAGGAGGGAAGCCGACUAUAGUGACGAAUGCUGAGGGGCAAAGAACGACGCCGUCUGUGGUGGCGUACACGAAGAAUGGGGAUAGGUUGGUGGGUCAGAUUGCGAAGAGGCAGGCGGUCGUGAACCCGGAGAACACCUUCUUUUCGGUGAAGAGGUUUAUUGGGAGGAAGAUGGUGGAGGUUGAUGAGGAAUCGAAGCAGGUUUCGUAUAGAGUUGUGAGAGAUGAGAAUGGGAAUGUGAAGUUGGAGUGUCCUGCUAUCGGCAAGCAGUUUGCUGCUGAAGAG
rnacentral:lncRNA from 1 species